CCGCUGCCUGGCCUCCAGCGAGCUCCGCGCGUCUGAGAAGGAGCUAAGGGCUCCCUGGUUCAAAGGGCCGCAGCCCCGAGGGAAUGCCCUCUUCGUGUGCCCCGGGGUGCAGAAGCAGACUGCAGGGCGGUGGGACCAGCCUGGGCCACGAAAGAAAAUGAACAGGGUGGGGUGUGAGGCAAAGGCACUGGAAGCUAUGCCUCUGAAAAACAGUCGUCCUGCGGAGAAAGGUCACCUACAGACAGUUGAAGAAAGAAAUGUCAUGCAAACUUGACAUCACGGAAGAAACAUGACAUGUGGAUUAUUAAAGAGCAACUGGCUGACUUUUAACCCUGGGUGCAUUGCUCAGACCCCAUUACCUGUGCAUUUAUACCGGGAAGAAUUACAGGGUAUAUGAGCCACAAAGAGGAGAUGACAAAGCAGAGAAUGAGGAACAAUAUACCCAUGGAAGGAGUUACAGAGACAAAGUUUGGAGCUGAGACGGAAGGAAUGGCCAUCCAGAGACUGUGACUGCCCCACCUGGGGAUCCAUUCCAUUUACAACCACCAAACCCAGACGCUAUUGCAUAUGCCAGAAAGAUUUUGCUGACAGGACCCUGAUAUAGCUCUCUCUUAUGAGGCUAUGCCAGUGCCUGGCAAAUAAAUACAGAAGUGGAUGCUCACAGUCAUCUAUUGGAUGGAACACAGGGACCCUAAUGAAGGAGCUAGAGAAAGUACCCAAGGAGCUGAAGGGGUCUGCAACCCUAUAGGAGGAACAACAAUAUGAACUAACCAGUAUCCCCCAGAGCUGUGUCUCUAGUUGUAUAUGUAGCAGAAGAUGGUCUAGUUGGCCAUCAAUGGGAGGAGAGGCCCUUGGUAUUGAAAAGAUCAUGUGCCCCAGUACAGGGGAAUGCUAGGGCCAGACAGAGGGGGUGGGUGGGUUGGGGAGUGGGAGUGGGAGGGUAUAGGGGGACUUUGGGAACAGCACUUGAAAUGCAAAUGAAGAAAAUAUCUAAUAAAAAAAAGUUCCCUGCCUGGCAUGCACUUAGUAAUUUGAGGCUGGUCUGUUCUAGAACUCCAGGUAAUGUAAGUGCAUAAUAAAGGCAUUUAAAAAGAAAUAACUGGCUAUGGGUUUGCAACUAAGUCAGUAGAGAAAUGCCUAGUGUAAAUGAGGUGGUGGGUUCGGGUUUUAGCACUGAUUUUCUUACUAGAAAUUCUACUUCUUUGGUUUCUUCUAAAUUAAAAGUGUUUAAUAAACUAAAGAAAUGACCUUCAAUGAUUAGUUCAUGUAUAGAAUACGUAAGAAUGCGACCACGUGAAUUUCUAGUCGUGUGUGCUUUUUCUAUAUAUGAAUCAAUUUACACAUUUUUGUGCUUUGUUAUUAAUAAUCUAUAUGAAUGUAGAGUUUUAGAUGAAUUUAAUGUCAACUAGGGAUUAAUGUGCAUUAAUUAAAUUGACAGUAUCUUCUCUAAUGAGAAAAAAGGAUUUAGUUGUAAUACUGAUGAUCUUAAUAAAGCUUUCCUCGACUUGUCUGUAUUUUCUCAACAUUAGAAAUUAUUUUUAUUAGAAGGUGAAGUGACUUAGUGCUGGCUAGGUGGCAAAACUCAGAUAAAUCAAGUGAUUGCAAACUGAUUUUGAUUUUGUUUUGGAGGUUGUCUAACCAAGCCUUGUAACUUUCAAUUAAAAAGGAAUCAAUUUGUGUCAGCCAUUUAAAAAUAAAAACACAAAUUGAACUCCACAUUUAGUUUUCUUUUGAGUAUUACGUAAGAUGGCUAGACAUUUGGAGCGAUUAGACGCAGGCUGUAUCUACAUGUUCAACAUCUUUGUUUGAAUCUUACAGAAUGUAAAAGCUGUAUUUGCCCAAAUGCUUUUCAAGUACAAUUCUUGUCACAGAAGGAACCAUAUUUUGUAAUAAAAUCUUGCU